GGAAUUACUGGGCGUAAAGCGAGCGUAGGUGGCUUGAUAAGUCAGAUGUGAAAUCCCCGGGCUUAACCUGGGAACUGCAUCUGAUACUGUUAAGCUAGAGUAGGUGAGAGGGAAGUAGAAUUCCAGGUGUAGCGGUGAAAUGCGUAGAGAUCUGGAGGAAUACCGAUGGCGAAGGCAGCUUCCUGGCAUCAUACUGACACUGAGGCUCGAAAGCGUGGGUAGCAAACAGGAUUAGAUACCCUGGUAGUCCACGCCGUAAACGAUGUCUACUAGUCGUUGGGUCCCNUGAGGACUUAGUGACGCAGCUAACGCAAUAAGUAGACCGCCUGGGGAGUACGGCCGCAAGGUUAAAACUCAAAUGAAUUGNCGGGGGCCCGCACCAGCGGUGGAGCAUGUGGUUUANUUNGAUGCAACGCGAAGAACCUUACCUGGUCUUGACAUACACAGAAUCUUGUAGAGAUACGAGAGUGCCUUCGGGAAUUGUGAUACAGGUGCUGCAUGGCUGUCGUCAGCUNGUGUCGUGAGAUGUUGGGUUAAGUCCCGCAACGAGCGCAACCCUUGUCCUUAGUUACCAGCGGGUUAAGCCGGGAACUCUAAGGAUACUGCCAGUGACAAACUGGAGGAAGGCGGGGACGACGUCAAGUCAUCAUGGCCCUUACGACCAGGGCUACACACGUGCUACAAUGGUAGGUACAGAGGGCAGCUACACAGCGAUGUGAUGCGAAUCUCAAAAAGCCUAUCGUAGUCCAGAUUGGAGUCUGCAACUCGACUCCAUGAAGUAGGAAUCGCUAGUAAUCGCGGAUCAGAAUGCCGCGGUGAAUACGUUCCCGGGCCUUGUACACACCGCCCGUCACACCAUGGGAGUUGAUUGCACCAGAAGUGGUUAGCCGA
rnacentral:rRNA from 1 species